rnacentral:rRNA from 1 species
GACGAACGCUGGCGGCGUGCUUAACACAUGCCAGUCGAACGGAAAGGCCCUGCUUUUGUGGGGUGCUCGAGUGGCGAACGGGUGAGUAACACGUGAGUAACCUGCCCUUGACUUUGGGAUAACUUCAGGAAACUGGGGCUAAUACCGGAUAGGAUCUCCUGCUGCAUGGUGGGGGUUGGAAAGUUUCGGCGGUUGGGGAUGGACUCGCAGCUUAUCAGCUUGUUGGUGGGGUAGUGGCUUACCAAGGCUUUGACGGGUAGCCGGCCUGAGAGGGUGACAGGCCACAUUGGGACUGAGAUACGGCCCAGACUCCUAAGGGAGGCAGCAGUGGGGAAUAUUGCACAAUGGGCGGAAGCCUGAUGAAGCAACGCCGCGUGCGGGAUGACGGCCUUCGGGUUGUAAACCGCUUUCGCCUGUGACGAAGCGUGAGUGACGGUAAUGGGUAAAGAAGCACCGGCUAACUACGUG